UUGACAUCUAGUGCCAUCCUUAGAGAUUAUGGUGUUCCUCUUCGGGGACGCUAACGACAUGGUUGGUAGUCAUGGNUCGUCCGUCAUGCUCGUGUCGUGAUGAUUGUUGGGUUAUAGUCCCGCAAACGAGCAGCAACCCUUCGUUAUUAUGUUCGCCAGCAUUAAGUUGGGCACUCUAAUGAGACUGCCGGUGACAAACCGGAGGAAGGUGGGGAUGACGUCAAGUCAUCAUGCCCCUUAUGACCUGGGCUACACACGUGCUACAAUGGUACGGUACAAACGAGUUAGCGAACUCUCGCGAANGGCAAGCUGAAUCUCAUUAAAGCCGUUUCUCAGUUCGGAUUGCAGUCUGCAACUCGCACUGCACUGAAGUCUGGAAUCGCUAGUAAUCGCGGAUCAGCA
rnacentral:rRNA from 1 species